AUUGAACGCUGGCGGCAUGCCUUACACAUGCAAGUCGAACGGUAACGGGCCUUCGGGUGCCGACGAGUGGCGAACGGGUGAGUAAUACAUCGGAACGUGCCCGAUCGUGGGGGAUAACGAGGCGAAAGCUUUGCUAAUACCGCAUACGAUCUACGGAUGAAAGCAGGGGACCGCAAGGCCUUGCGCGGACGGAGCGGCCGAUGGCAGAUUAGGGAGUUGGUGGGAUAAAAGCUUACCAAGCCGACGAUCUGUAGCUGGUCUGAGAGGAUGAUCAGCCACAAUGGGACUGAGACACGGCCCAGACGCCUACGGGAGGCAGCAGUGGGGAAUUUUGGACAAUGGGCGCAAGCCUGAUCCAGCCAUGCCGCGUGCAGGAUGAAGGCCUUCGGGUUGUAAACUGCUUUUGUACGGAACGAAAAGCCUUCUUCUAAUACAGGAGGGUCAUGACGGUACCGUAAGAAUAAGCACCGGCUAACUACGUGCCAGCCGCCGCCGUAA
rnacentral:rRNA from 1 species